GUACUCACUUCGGCAGCGCAUAUGCUAAAAUUGGACCGAUACGGAGAUUAGCGUGGCCCCCGCACAAGGACAACACACAAAUUUGUGAAGCGUUCCAAAUGUUU
ensembl:snRNA U6 U6 spliceosomal RNA